CUUAUAUCACAAUUUCAAAUGGAUUGUGAAAAAGCAGAGCUUGAUUCACACCUUUCAGGAAAACAGCAUCCAGUAAACAUCACAAAAGAGAAGAGGCCGUUAAGUAGCUGUGGUAAAGAAAGUGUGAUAAGGACAAAAAGAGGAAGACAAACAAAACAUCAAGCACUGAUGGAAAAGGGGGUAAAGGCUUAGCAAUAUGUCCUGAAAAACAACUGUGCUUGUUUCUCAAGGUCCAUGCAGGCCAUUCCAUACAGGAGUGCUGCAACAGCGUGUCACAACUGAAGCAACUGGAAAAAAUAAACUGAACUAGAUUUCAUAUAUUGGUUACUUGUUUCAGGGAAUGAGUUCUACUCCUAAAAAAACCCAAACAGGUAAAAAGCUGUGGGGUUUUUUUUAGAAUUGGGGAGAAUUAAAGAAUUUUCAAAAAAUAAUGAAUGUUACAGUCCAGCCUUACAAAAGAUAGCUACAAAACUGUAAAAGAAGAAAUAUGACUUUAUGCAAGACCUGACAAAGAAUUUAUGAUAUGGACCACUGAACUCAUCUUUUGUCAUUUAUCUCUGUAAAUGUGUGAGAUUUCUUGGAAGAUAGUUAGUCAAAUGAGGAGCCGAGAUGAAUCAGUGGAUAUAAUUUAUUUAGACUUUAAAAAGGCUUUUGAUGAUAAAGUCCUUAGCAAGAGGCUAUUAAGGAAAGUUAGUAACCAUAUGGUGAAAGAUAAAGUCCUGCCGUGGAUUAAAAAGUGGUUAAGAGAUAAGAUAAAAAGACUGGAAAUAAACGGUUAAUUCUCCCUGGAAAGAGGUUAAUAGCAAGGUGCCCCUUCAUUACUGUGACUGGCAAUCGACAUCUUGGCUCACCUGCCUUUGCAGAUCAUUAAUAGUAAGGUACAGAGUUUGUAGAUAAAAAUGUUCAGGCUAAUCAGAGUAUUGUAGAAAAUAUUACGGGGGCUGAAGUGAAAUGACAUUUGGGCAACUCAAAGGAGAUGAAAUUUGCCAAAGGCAGGAAAUACAAAGCCAAGCCUCUUGGAAGGAAGGGUUCAGACAACUUCUGGAUGCUGAUCUGUUCCCACUGGUUUGCAAUGUCCAUGAACAGCUCACUGAAGGGAACUGUUCAUGUGCACUGUAAAGAAAGGAGGACAAUUGGAUCCAGUGGUUCCAUGGGGUGGUCCUCCCAGGCAGUUUAUGGCAGUGAAUAACUUCAAACUGGCAGAACCCGUUAAGAUCUGCCAAGAACAAUUUUGCAUGGACAGGGAGAUGGACAAACUGCAUCAAGAAUUUUUGGACUGUAGGAUUUAUCAGAAAACGCAGAUCUACAAGAUAGAAAUGUAAUAUGGAAAUGCACUGGAAUUGGUGAACUUCUGUGGGAAAUGUUUCUGAAGGGCAAAUUAAAAUGGAGAAUUAAUGA